rnacentral:rRNA from 1 species
ACGGAAGGCAGCAGUGGGGAUAUUGCACAAUGGGCGAAAGCCUGAUGCAGCGACGCCGCGUGAGGGAAGACGGUCCUCUGGAUUGUAAACCUCUGUCUUAUGGGACGAAGAUGACGGUACCAUAGGAGGAAGCUCCGGCUAACUACGUGCCAGCAGCCGCGGUAAUACGUAGGGAGCGAGCGUUGUCCGGAAUUACUGGGUGUAAAGGGAGCGUAGGCGGGACUUUAAGUCCGUUGUGAAAUCUAUCGGCUCAACCGGUAGCUGCGGCGGAAACUGGAGUUCUUGAGUGAAGUAGAGGCAAGCGGAAUUCCUAGUGUAGCGGUGAAAUGCGUAGAUAUUAGGAGGAACACCAGUGGCGAAGGCGGCUUGCUGGGCUUUUACUGACGCUGAGGCUCGAAAGUGUGGGGAGCAAACAGGAUUAGAUACCCUGGUA